rnacentral:rRNA from 1 species
GAUGAACCCUUUCUACAGGCUUAACACUUGCAAGUCGAGGGGCAGCAUGGUUUUAGCUUGCUAAGACUGAUGGCGACCGGCGCACGGGUGAGUAACACGUAUCCAACCUGCCGUCUACUCUUGGACAGCCUUCUGAAAGGAAGAUUAAUACAAGAUGGCAUCAUGAGUCCACAUGUUCACAUGAUUAAAGGUAUUCCGGUAGACGAUGGGGAUGCGUUCCAUUAGAUAGUAGGCGGGGUAACGGCCCACCUAGUCUUCGAUGGAUAGGGGUUCUGAGAGGAAGGUCCCCCACAUUGGAACUGAGACACGGUCCAAACUCCUACGGGAGGCAGCAGUGAGGAAUAUUGGUCAAUGGGCGAGAGCCUGAACCAGCCAAGUAGCGUGAAGGAUGACUGCCCUAUGGGUUGUAAACUUCUUUUAUAAAGGAAUAAAGUCGGGUAUGGAUACCCGUUUGCAUGUACUUUAUGAAUAAGGAUCGGCUAACUCCGUGCCAGCAGCCGCGGUAAUACGGAGGAUCCGAGCGUUAUCCGGAUUUAUUGGGUUUAAAGGGAGCGUAGAUGGAUGUUUAAGUCAGUUGUGAAAGUUUGCGGCUCAACCGUAAAAUUGCAGUUGAUACUGGAUAUCUUGAGUGCAGUUGAGGCAGGCGGAAUUCGUGGCGUAGCGGUGAAAUGCUUAGAUAUCACGAAGAACUCCGAUUGCGAAGGCAGCCUGCUAAGCUGCAACUGACAUUGAGGCUCGAAAGUGUGGGUAUCAAACAGGAUUAGAUACCCUGGUAGUCCACACGGUAAACGAUGAAUACUCGCUGUUUGCGAUAUACAGCAAGCGGCCAAGCGAAAGCGUUAAGUAUUCCACCUGGGGAGUACGCCGGCAACGGUGAAACUCAAAGGAAUUGACGGGGGCCCGCACAAGCGGAGGAACAUGUGGUUUAAUUCGAUGAUACGCGAGGAACCUUACCCGGGCUUAAAUUGCAGAUGAAUUACGGUGAAAGCCGUAAGCCGCAAGGCAUCUGUGAAGGUGCUGCAUGGUUGUCGUCAGCUCGUGCCGUGAGGUGUCGGCUUAAGUGCCAUAACGAGCGCAACCCUUGUUGUCAGUUACUAACAGGUCAUGCUGAGGACUCUGACAAGACUGCCAUCGUAAUAUGUGAGGAAGGUGGGGAUGACGUCAAAUCAGCACGGCCCUUACGUCCGGGGCUACACACGUGUUACAAUGGGGGGUACAGAGGGCCGCUACCACGCGAGUGGAUGCCAAUCCCAAAAACCUCUCUCAGUUCGGACUGGAGUCUGCAACCCGACUCCACGAAGCUGGAUUCGCUAGUAAUCGCGCAUCAGCCACGGCGCGGUGAAUACGUUCCCGGGCCUUGCACU